rnacentral:lncRNA from 1 species
CUCGUUGCAAGGAUACAUCAACUCAAGGAAGGAAAAGGGAGAAGAUGUGAUUUCAAAAGCCAACGGCUCCUUUACUGACUUCUUUCUAAAGAUGAUACUGUAGGUAGUUCACUUAAUUUCUGUUUAUCCUUCCUUUCUACUCCUGCAUUAAAUAUGAUAAUUUCUGCAGAGAUCUUUGUGCUGUGUUGGACCAAAUGGUGAAGCGCAGAGUAUGCCCAAGAAAACUUGGUAUGCAAAACUUAUAUCUCAAGAGCGUGGAGAAUGCUGAACCAGAACUGAAAAUACUUUUCGACAAGGGUAAUCUAUUUUCUGCGCAUUCUUCAUUUUAUCGGUGAAGCAUAUGAUUUUUUUAUGGAAAUCAGAUGAAGACCAUAUUUUAUUGGAUUAAAGUUUUAGCUUCUUUUAGAUGAUUUGUUGUAGUGACUGCAGAAAAAUAUUGCCCAAACUCUGACUCAAUGUAGUUGAAAGGGGAAUCCUACUGCAUAUAUAGAGAGAAUCCUACUGCAUAUAAUUAAACACUGCAGACCAAAGUACUAUUAUGCAAAUAUUUUUACUUGACUUGUGAGGGUUUAAAGACAGACAAGAAUCUGCAAAUCAAUUGCUAUCUGAUUUCAAAUGAAUGAUGGAACAUAAUUACAUUUAUAUAUGUAACUUCGCUCAAAUAGGUCCACUUUCCAGCUACAAAUGACAAAAAUGUAAGUAAACUACAAACUUAGGAUUGAAACAAUGUGGCUUAUUGAAAACAACUCUGCUUUCCUGCUUACAGGCUGUUCCUGCUCACAACAUGCAAUUAGACUUAAUUCUACACCUAUUCCUUUGCCAAUCAACAAAUAGUAUGACUUGACUGCCAAGUUCACAAUUACAUCAUGAAGAGAGGUAGUAUGUAUCAUAAGAACACAAAAAAAUAAUGUGGGGAACUUUAUCAUAUCCUCCAAAUGUCAAUAAAAAAGUGAGUAAAAGUCAACUCAUGAGCAGGUAAUGGGGAUUAGGGAGUAGAAUUGAAAAAACAUGGAAGUAUAGGCAUAGUCCGAUCAUAGUUUUCAGAUUUGAUCUACAUGAGUUAUUUAUUGUGAUGAAGUGCAUUACUGUCAGUGCCGUAAAGUGAUUGCAUACAUCUAUAGGUUUAUUAAUGGAACUCUAGUGCAUGGGUUUCACAAGGCUCUCACCCUUGAUCAUUCCUCUCUCUCCCUGUAACCUCCCCAUCUUCCGCCGGUGUCAACUCCACCCAGUCAAGAUGCUGCCCUUCCCUGACCUGGGCUACUCGCCUACUCCUCUUUUUACCCUACUCACCAUGUUCAUAUAGAUUUGUAGGCUUAUAGAUGCUGUAUUAUCAGUCACAAUAUACUACUAGCAAUACAACACUAGAGCUGCCAAGCAUAGCUCAUACACAUUUUGUUCACCUGCUGACCACCUUAUGUACUGUGGUCUGCAGUGUUUAAUUAAAUGUGUAUAAUACACAUGCUGUAUUAUCAGUCACAAUAUACUACUAGCAAUACAACACUAGAGCUGCCAAGCAUAGCUCAUACACAUUUUGUCCCUUGACCAUCAAGGUAAAUAUCUCGAUGUCUUGUAAUGAUUUUAUAUUGUUUCAUGAAGAAGCAAUAUGGUAACAGGAAUUAUUUGAUGGCAGGCAUUCUUGAAGAGUAAAGACGAAAUACUGGCUGCUCUGGAGAAAUGGUGCCCCAACGUUUGGUUUCUCUUGUACAAUGCCGUUGGUUUAGUCUGUAAGUGGUUGUGUUCAUCACUAAUAUAUCUUGAUCUCUCUUUCACAUCUUGUUUUGUGAUCCUCCUUGUUGUUUUUUUGCUGCAGGAUGAAGUGCCGACCAAAGAUGGUUAUGAUAUUGCCAUGUGGUCUCAUUUCAAGUAGGAUAGUUUGACAUGGAUGGGUUUACCUUGUCUGACAUAUCAUGCAUGUUUGAUUGAUCCCUCUGAAGCAUGGUUUGAACUGUUACCACUUGACUAGUAGUAAUCUUCAGUCUGAGCCUGCAAAGGAAUCUGCUAAAAAAGGCUGUGUUGAUGAUGUUGUUUAGAAGGGAGCAGAAGUUGGUUAAUGAGAUUUCUGUGAAUUGUUUGUUGUAUUUGCUGAAUUAAUAUCUUGGUGAUUCGAUGCUCCG